rnacentral:lncRNA from 1 species
AGCAAGAAACUAAAACAGAAAAGACAAUUUUACAGAUACUGUAUACAGAUACUUUUUUUCCAUUCAUGCAACUUUUUUUUUUCUGAAAAAAAAAGUUUAACAUGUGAAGCCAAAAUGCACAAUACAUUUUUUUUCAAAUAUUAACUAAUUUAUCUGGUCCUCCACAUCUGUUUACAUUUCCAAUGCACAUCAUGUACUAAGACAAUUAUAUGAGAGGAGACUGAUUGCCAAGCAAUAACAUAAUUUUAGAGAAAUAAAUGUCCUAACAUAUAGCUUUUUAAAGCAAUGGUACAAAUAUUUCUGGAGUUAGGCAGAAGCCUCAUAACCAAUCGUUCACAAAAGAAAAAAAAAUCACAAAUAAAAUUAAAUAAGAAAAAUACACAAUCGUUCAAAUUGCAUAAAUGUUACCACUUUAGAUGCUUAGCGCUUAUGUAUUAAAUAUUAACACUAAAAUUCUUUAAUAACUUGUGUAUCUGCUAUAAGAUCUUUUUGAUGGACAUGAUUUCAGGAAAACUAGUCUUUUUUCCUUUUUGCCCCUUUUCCCAGAGAUGCUGAACUUCGUACCUCUUUGCCAAUGAUUAUCUCCCCAUAAACCAAACUGGUUUUCUUAAUUAAAAAAAAAUCAUACUUAAUUACAUAUUCUCAAAAUAUUGCAAGAAAAAAUAAGAAUCAGAGAAUUUUAGUAUUGGAAAGAUUAGUUUUCCUUAAUCAGAGUGUAAUUAUUAGAAGAAACUCUUUUUUUUUAAAGGAAAGGCAGAACUUUUGAUUUUGGUUUUGGGAAAGACUGAAGACCUGAAUUUUUCUACUGCUUUUUCUUUUUCCUUACCCAUCCCCAUUGAAUCCCUUACAUUCCUGAGGGGAAUAAUUAAGUGGCUGUGGUACCACUUUGGCCUUGGUUGACUUUCAGAAACCCAAAUGAUGACCAUUAAAAAAAAAAAGAGAAAGAGAGAGAUGCAUCAGGCACAAGAUAAAUCUGUCCUUAUCAUCCUUAGUUCAAUGAACACAAAUUGUUAACUAACUUGAAAUCUUACCCCUAUGAAUGGGAAAUAUCUGCUGGUAAUAUCGAGAGCCACUAAGAGCUUCAUCCUCAGGGAGGAGAGGCAGUAGACAUGUUUAUUAAAAUCAAAACACACACACAAACACACACAUAAUACCACAAAGCCUGCUUUGUACUGUAUCCAAACAUUCCCCUCUGAUUAAUAUUUUUUUUUAAAAAUAAAAAAAAAUUAGUAAUAACACAUCCACCAAAUGACUUUUUUUUUUAAAAAGCAAGAAUAACAUUAUGGUAGAUGAAAGAAAAAAAAAGAAAAACAAUUUCAGAUUCAUUCACUGCUAAGGAUGUACCUGAACCUGAAAAGGGCAGCUCAUAUUCUGCACUUGAGUACAUAAAGGGAAAGCUUGCAAUAAAGCUGUUUCUUAACUUUGGUAAAAGGUGUUUGGGUCUGGGGUCUCAGAGGGGAAAUAGUUCCCGAGAGUGCAUGUCUAAUUAGGAAUAUUAGUUACUCUUCUGGCAGCCCUCCCCAUACUACCCUUAGAAAUGGGGUUAAGGGAAGGGCUGGGAAGGAUUGGAAUUAGGUUGACUGAUACUAGUGAUCAGAUCUCCUAUGGGAAUUGCAUUUUCUAUUUAGCAUCCUACAUCUGAAAAACAGCCAGAGUAGAGCAGGGUUCACUGCUUGCUUUCAAACUUUGUUCAGCUGACACAGAAGUCAGUAAUGGUGCUUCCAGAUGAGAUGCAUGGGCUGAGCAGACAGCAGACUAGCUUUUCCUUUAAGUCUAGUCUUUUGGGAGAGAUGAGUACAACUGGUACUUCCACCCAGCUCGGGUAAACUAGCAGGGAACAAGCUUCUCUCUUUGGCCUUUUAGCUCCUGGGGCUCCUUUCUGCAGGAGACACAGUACAGAAUCAGGAGAACGUUCAAGCCUGUGGGAGGCUAAAGGAACGGACUCAAAGUCCAGAACCAGAUGGGAUCGGACCUUCCUCACUGUUCUUGAGUCCUUCCCCUCUUGUAGCCCUCCUGGAAUCAUUCACUUAGAACACCCCCAUGCUUAAGCUGUUGUUUUACUGAGUCAUUCAAUCAAGGGGGAAAAAAAGACUUCCUGUUCAGUUCUGUAGCUCCCUGAUCCCGUGCUUUCUCGCAUUAAACUGUCUUAGAUUAAAUUCUAAUCUGGGUUCAAGAUAUUUUCUCAAAAUAAUCUCUGAUUAAAACCCACCAAAUGUGGGAAAAGUAGAGAAUAAGAGAUACUUUAUAACUGAAGGGAACUAAAUGACUUCCCUCCCCCCCAACUUAAACAUAUUUACAUAUUUUUUCUGACCUACUUUCUGCCCUCUUUCACCCCCAAACAGCUCUUGGGGUCUAGAGCAACAAUGAAAAAGUAAUUUCCUUAUAACUCAGGAAUUGAAUUGUAAUCUCAGGCUCUCUAGCUGGAGUACCCUGGACUCUCACAUAGCCUAAUAGCUCUUUAUCACUAGCUAGUUACAUUAGGUCAUCUGACAAAAUAACCCAAAAAAGACCAUUCCCCUUCUCCUUCUCCGGCCCACUCUGCUAGCUUGUCCUUUCAGGACAGAGGAAUGAAGAUGGAGUAUUUCUCUUUCACCGAUUUCCUUUUGCCUUUCAGAAAUGACUAGCAAGCAAAAUUUGACAGAUUGGACAAUUUUCAAGCUCUCAUUAUGGUACAGGAAUACAGGAAGUAAGUUCCUGCCAUUGACAAACUGACCAUUUUGAAUACACUUACUACUACCUUUUGCAAUCAAAAGGACAAGAUCUUAAGUUAUUCAAAAAAAAAGGCAUGUCCAGGUUGGUCUACCAUAACCACAACUGCACAAGCAUUUACAAAUUUUGUGAAAUGUAAUAAAACAAACAGAAUCAUCACACACAAAAAAAAGCAUGGCAGGGUUGGGGGAGGCACUAAGAGACCAUAUGGAAUGCCCAACAUACCAGGUAUAAUUGCUACCAAUAUCAGCCCCCAAGAUUAUGUAAAGAAAUAAAAAAGGGGCUUGAUACAUAUAAUGGUGGCAGGUGCUCAGUAGGUGGUGGCAGGUGUACAUGUGUAUUUUGUGUGUCGUGGAAGAAAGUCACUACAUACUGCAUGGGACCAACAUCAGUGAGAACUUCUACACUGAAACUUUGGGCUGGAAUACAGGUUUGUAUUCUUAUCACCUAUGCAUAAUUAUUCAUUUCUGUACUCUACAUAAUAAAAUAUACUUAUGCAUUUAUAUGCAUAAUGAUUUUAUCCAAAAUGGGGAAAAAAGUUUUCAUAGAGCUGGACAAGUGAUCCAAUGCUGGACUAAUUCUUACCAGGUUCUCCCUGUACCAGUGGAACACCCAACUUGCCUCCCUACCAAAGAAACUAACAAAAAUAAUCACACUUUCCAGGUUAAACAGAAAGCACCUACUAUACAGCACCAUUAACUUAAAAAAUUUUUUUUGGAAAAAACUAAAAAAAUAAACAUAAAGUUUAAAAUGGUCUUUCAUUUCCACCAUUUCAUUUGUUCAAAAAUAAUCCAAACUUAUAAAAAAAAAUCAGUUUGUGGGGUAUUAGCUCUUCCCCUUGUACAGUUCUGGGAGAUCUGAUCACACAUCGAGGUGGAAAGUAAUCAAGGAAACAUUUGAAAAAAAUAUGAAACAUCCAAAUUAUAUUCCCUCCCUUUCUCAGUCUGAUCUGUACUUUUCAUAUAGAUUAUCCACUUUAGGCCUGCCAUACUUGUGAAAAGUUUAUCUCACUUUCAAUGCAAAAGAGAACUACUUUCCUCCCUGUCCACUUUUUUAAAAAAAGAAGAAAUUUCUAAGUGGUAUUUGGCAAUGAAUGGGCAUCUUAGCUUAAUUCUCUCCUGAAAAUAGCUGAGUUUCCACUCAAUAAAAAGAUGGUCCACUACACUGAAUGGGGAUCAAGCCAUAAAAACCACAGGCCAUCCUGAUUUAGACAAUAGGGUAUCAGCCUGGGGGUCUCUUUGGUUAGACCCUCUAAAAGAAGCUUCUCAUUCAGAAUUUAAAAAAAGUAAAACAAAACACUGCAUCGGACACAUUGUUCUUCAUUUCUCCUGUGCUAUGUUCUCUUUUUUGGAAAAUGAUUGUGCCAUCGUUAGGUUUCUAAGGAGAGAAUAUCAGACAAAAUACAGAAGAAUAUGUAGCUUAGAUUAUUUGACUCGACAGUCUGUAGUCAGAGGAAUCCCAGAAGCAUGAAUAUUACUGGCAAGGGUCUACUUCCUUCCAAAGUUUUCAGCUUAACAGGGAAAGAAAGGGUGAAUGAAUCUAGUUAACAGAAAAAAUAAAAAACAACCAAAAAACAACAAAACAACAACAAAACACUGCAUGGGCACAGGAGUGAGAGAAGCAAGAAACAAACACAAAACCAAAACUUAAAAGAGCCCAUAAACCAUUGCUAUAUUAUAACACCACAUGAUCAUUGGCAGGGAACUACUGUUAGAGAGUACACAGUGUCAAAACUGACAAAAUGGUGCAGAGGCGUUGGGUGCUGUGUCCACAGAAGGUGCUCCAUCAUCCUGUACAGGGAAGAUUUUGCAUACGUUCUCAAGUUCAAUAGGAGCUUUGCUGGGGGGGAUGAGGGACCAUUAACAGUCUCUGCUUGAUUAGGAAAAUGAUGCAGGAUUGAUUCACAAAGGUUAUUAAGC